UUCCCCUCGGGAUCACACCUGGAGAGUUUCCAGUACUCUACCGGUCUCGGUUAUGGGAGGGAGAGUCAAACAGAGGCAUACCCAUUCCAUUCCUAGCUUGGACAGUGGCUAGCCAGUGCAAGACAAUCUGCUACAAGU